rnacentral:piRNA from 1 species
UCCAGUCUCUAAGAACAGUUU